CUGCACAUUUUUUGCACAACAUGCGGGGGUAAUAAGAGUUCAACCCCGCGUAGCAUGAAAAAAAAGUGCCCUACUUGCGUUCGGUCAGUUUACUUACUACAAGUAAUGAGUACUAUGUAGUCCGGCUAAUUUCCCAGUCCCAUGGGGAA
rnacentral:sRNA from 1 species